rnacentral:tRNA from 1 species
UUGUGGCUCAGUGUUAGAGUGCUUGCCUAGCAUGUGUGAGGUAGUGGGUUCGAUUCUCACAUAUAAA